UACGUAGGGGGCUAGCGUUGUCCGGAUUUACUGGGCGUAAAGAGCGCGCAGGCGGUCGUUCAAGUCGCGUGUGAAAGCCCCCGGCUCAACUGGGGAGGGUCACGCGAUACUGAUCGACUCGAAGGCAGGAGAGGGAAGUGGAAUUCCCGGUGUAGUGGUGAAAUGCGUAGAUAUCGGGAGGAACACCAGUGGCGAAGGCGACUUCCUGGCCUGUUCUUGACGCUGAGGCGCGAAAGCUAGGGGAGCAAACGGGG
rnacentral:rRNA from 1 species